rnacentral:rRNA from 1 species
GACGAGGGGUCCAAGCGUUGUUCGGAAUUACUGGGCGUAAAGCGCACGUAGGCGGAUCUGUAAGUCGGGGGUGAAAUCCUGGAGCUCAACUCCAGAACUGCCUUCGAUACUGGCGAUCUUGAGUCCGGAAGAGGUGAGUGGAACUCCUAGUGUAGAGGUGGAAUUCGUAGAUAUUAGGAAGAACACCAGUGGCGAAGGCGGCUCACUGGUCCGGUACUGACGCUGAGGUGCGAAAGCGUGGGGAGCAAACAGG